rnacentral:rRNA from 1 species
UGGGCAACCUGCCCCUAGCUCUGGGAUAACUCCGGGAAACCGGGGCUAAUACCGGAUAUGACCACGGUGGACAUCCACUGUGGUGGAAAGCUCCGACGGCUAGGGAUGGGCCCGCGGCCUAUCAGCUUGUUGGUGGGGUAACGGCCCACCAAGGCGACGACGGGUAGCCGGCCUGAGAGGGCGACCGGCCACACUGGGACUGAGACACGGCCCAGACUCCUACGGGAGGCA